rnacentral:rRNA from 1 species
AACAAGGUCUCCGUAGGUGAACCUGCGGAGGGAUCAUUAC